rnacentral:rRNA from 1 species
ACGAACGGGUGGAGCUUGCGGUUUAAUUGGAUUCAACGCCGGAAAUCUUACCGGGACGACAGCAAUAUGAAGGCCAGGCUGAAGACUUUGCCGGAUUAGCUGAGAGGUGGUGCAUGGCCGUCGUCAGUUCGUACUGUGAAGCAUCCUGUUAAGUCAGGCAACGAGCGAGACCCACGCCCACAGUUGCCAGCGUACUCUCUGGAGUGACGGGUACACUGUGGGGACCGCCGCUGCUAAAGCGGAGGAAGGAAUGGGCAACGGUAGGUCAGUAUGCCCCGAAUAUCCCGGGCUACACGCGAGCUACAAUGGUUGGUACAAUGGGUAUCUACCCCGAAAGGGGACGGGAAUCUCCUAAAACCAAUCUUAGUUCGGAUUGAGGGCUGCAACUCGCCCUCAUGAAGCUGGAAUCCGUAGUAAUCGCGUUUCAACAGAACGCGGUGAAUACGUCCCUGCUCCUU